UACAGGGGGGGCAAGCGUUGUUCGGAAUUACUGGGCGUAAAGGGUUCGUAGGUGGCCACUUAAGUCAGACGUGAAAUCCCUCAGCUUAACUGGGGAACUGCGUCUGAUACUGAGUGGCUUGAGUGCAGGAGAGGAAUGCGGAAUUCCAGGUGUAGCGGUGAAAUGCGUAGAUAUCUGGAGGAACACCGGUGGCGAAGGCGGCAUCCUGGACCGACAUUGACGCUGAGGCGCGAAAGCCAGGGGAGCAAACGGG
rnacentral:rRNA from 1 species